rnacentral:rRNA from 1 species
UAAUUGAAGAGUUUGAUCAUGGCUCAGAUUGAACGCUGGCGGCAGGCCUAACACAUGCAAGUCGAGCGGCAGCGACAACAUUGAACCUUCGGGGGAUUUGUUGGGCGGCGAGCGGCGGACGGGUGAGUAAUGCCUGGGAAAUUGCCCUGAUGUGGGGGAUAACCAUUGGAAACGAUGGCUAAUACCGCAUGAUAGCUUCGGCUCAAAGAGGGGGACCUUCGGGCCUCUCGCGUCAGGAUAUGCCCAGGUGGGAUUAGCUAGUUGGUGAGGUAAGGGCUCACCAAGGCGACGAUCCCUAGCUGGUCUGAGAGGAUGAUCAGCCACACUGGAACUGAGACACGGUCCAGACUCCUACGGGAGGCAGCAGUGGGGAAUAUUGCACAAUGGGCGCAAGCCUGAUGCAGCCAUGCCGCGUGUAUGAAGAAGGCCUUCGGGUUGUAAAGUACUUUCAGCAGUGAGGAAGGAGGUAUCGUUAAUAGCGGUAUCUUUUGACGUUAGCUGCAGAAGAAGCACCGGCUAACUCCGUGCCAGCAGCCGCGGUAAUACGGAGGGUGCGAGCGUUAAUCGGAAUUACUGGGCGUAAAGCGCAUGCAGGUGGUUUGUUAAGUCAGAUGUGAAAGCCCGGGGCUCAACCUCGGAAUUGCAUUUGAAACUGGCAGGCUAGAGUACUGUAGAGGGGGGUAGAAUUUCAGGUGUAGCGGUGAAAUGCGUAGAGAUCUGAAGGAAUACCGGUGGCGAAGGCGGCCCCCUGGACAGAUACUGACACUCAGAUGCGAAAGCGUGGGGAGCAAACAGGAUUAGAUACCCUGGUAGUCCACGCCGUAAACGAUGUCUACUUGGAGGUUGUGGCCUUGAGCCGUGGCUUUCGGAGCUAACGCGUUAAGUAGACCGCCUGGGGAGUACGGUCGCAAGAUUAAAACUCAAAUGAAUUGACGGGGGCCCGCACAAGCGGUGGAGCAUGUGGUUUAAUUCGAUGCAACGCGAAGAACCUUACCUA